GUUGAGGUCACAGAGAACAGUCAGGAGACAGCUGCAGGACUUGCCAUGAGUCACAAUGAGCCUAUAGAAGGACUGUGGAGGUGGAGAGCCAGUGAGGUCAGGACCAGAAAAGGCCUUGGUUGUGGGGUAGGUUGCUACCCUCCCUGCCAUCCACAUGGGUGGGCUGUGUGAGAUGGACAGCAGCCUGAGAAGAGGCCAGGAGUGGGAGUGGAUUUGGGAAGGGCCUCAGUGACAGGAAGGGUGUUUCCACUGUGCAGCUGCCAAAAGAAACCUGUGACUCAGUGGAUGGCAUGUCUGAUACCCAGAAACUUUAUAGUCCGAGUUAUCCUGGCUCCUGUCUACUUCCGACACCAUUGGCACUGCAUUCCCCAUUGAAUGAUGCCCGCUGGAACACAGCUUUAUAGACUUCAAUGCGAAUAGUGCCCCCUAGAAUUGUGCAAUUUGGCAGUACAGAGCCUAAUAUUUGUUGAAAAGAGGCCACAGGCGAUCCACUCUCUCUGCUCAUCUUCCUGAUCCAGUGGCCUCUGAAAUCCUUCUGGCGACUUCUAAUUGUAAACCUUCUCAUACUUGAAACCUUCCCUGUGUCAGGGUGAGGAAGCUGGUAUGAAGAGUGGGCUGAUUCCGUUUGUUUGCAGUUUAUUAUCAAACUUGGACAUCUUAUUUCAGAGAGAUAUAAGAAAGGCACUUGAUAAGCUGUCUGCAGCAGUUUCUCCUGAGGGGUCUGCCAAAAACGGCGUGGGAUCUCAGGGUCUGGUUUUCUUUGCCUUCUCCAGGUCUGUUACAUUUCCCAGAAUGGUUCCCAGUGCUGGAGAUAAUUCCUUUUCGGAGAACCUACAUUUCUCACCUGCUGAUUGCAAUUAGCCACUACCAGCUGGGGCCUGGUGUGCAGCUGAAAAGCUAACAAGAAGUGGAGACCACGCGGAACCCAGACAGGGCAUAGGAUGUGCAUAAAUAAGCAACGGUGCCUGUGUUUAUGAGAUGCUCCUGUGAAUUCAAGGCUUCCCCGCCCUCUGCAUAACUCUCCCUCUUCCGGCUUUGUGCUGCAUACCCCUCCUCUAACUAUAUUUUUUGUCUCUGGUUUUGUAGCCUACACUUAACAUCACAGUCACGAAUUUACCACUAAGUACAUUUUGUUAGGCAAUAAACAGCCUUGGAAGAAAAAUGAAAUCCGACUAGGACUUCUGUUCUAAUAAUGUUUGUGAGCUGUGGUGGAUUCAGGCAGGCCCCACAUGCAAAUCUUAGAGCUAACCUUGG
rnacentral:lncRNA from 1 species